rnacentral:rRNA from 1 species
AAGCCCACGGAAGCCUCGGCUUCUGAGGGAAAAGGUGGCCUCUGCAUGCAAGCUAUCACUUCAGGAUGAGCCCGCGGCCCAUCAGCUAGUUGGCGGGGUAAUGGCCCACCAAGGCUACGACGGGUAGCUGGUCUGAGAGGACGAUCAGCCACACUGGAACUGAGACACGGUCCAGACUCCUACGGGAGGCAGCAGUGGGGAAUCUUGCGCAAUGGGCGAAAGCCUGACGCAGCAACGCCGCGUGUGUGAUGAAGGUCUUCGGAUCGUAAAGCACUGUCGCGAGGGACGAAUAAGUCCACCGCUAAUAUCGGUGGAUGAUGACGGUACCUCGAAAGGAAGCACCGGCUAACUCUGUGCCAGCAGCCGCGGUAA